GACGAACGCUGGCGGCGCGCCUAACACAUGCAAGUCGAACGGAGUCAAGAGGAGCUUGCUUUUCUUGACUUAGUGGCGAACGGGUGAGUAACGCGUGAGUAACCUGCCCUGGAGUAGGGGACAACAGUUGGAAACGACUGCUAAUACCGCAUAAGCCCACGGAUCCGCAUGGAUCUGCGGGAAAAGGAUUUAUUCGCUUCAGGAUGGACUCGCGUCCAAUUAGCUAGUUGGUGAGGUAACGGCCCACCAAGGCGACGAUUGGUAGCCGGACUGAGAGGUUGAACGGCCACAUUGGGACUGAGACACGGCCCAGACUCCUACGGGAGGCAGCAGUGGGGGAUAUUGCACAAUGGGGGAAACCCUGAUGCAGCGACGCCGCGUGGAGGAAGAAGGUUUUCGGAUUGUAAACUCCUGUCGUUAGGGACGAUAAUGACGGUACCUAACAAGAAAGCACCGGCUAACUACGUG
rnacentral:rRNA from 1 species